UUACGGCCAUAUAGUAUUGAAGCACCAGUUGCCAUAUGAUCACUGAAGUUAAGCAAUGUCGAGCCUGGUCAGUAUUUAGGUGGGUGACUGUUUGGAAUGUGUGAGUGGUG